UGGGCGUUAAGUUGCAGGGUAUAGACCCGAAACCCGGUGAUCUAGCCAUGGGCAGGUUGAAGGUUGGGUAACACUAACUGGAGGACCGAACCGACUAAUGUUGAAAAAUUAGCGGAUGACCUGUGGCUGGGGGUGAAAGGCCAAUCAAACCGGGAGAUAGCUGGUUCUCCCCGAAAGCUAUUUAGGUAGCGCCUCGUGAAUUCAUCUCCGGGGGUAGAGCACUGUUUCGGCUAGGGGGCCAUCCCGGCUUACCAACCCGAUGCAAACUGCGAAUACCGGAGAAUGUUAUCACGGGAGACACACGGCGGGUGCUAACGUCCGUCGUGAAGAGGGAAACAACCCAGACCGCCAGCUAAGGUCCCAAAGUCAUGGUUAAGUGGGAAACGAUGUGGGAAGGCCCAGACAGCCAGGAUGUUGGCUUAGAAGCAGCCAUCAUUUAAAGAAAGCGUAAUAGCUCACUGGUCGAGUCGGCCUGCGCGGAAGAUGUAACGGGGCUAAACCAUGCACCGAAGCUGCGGCAGCGAACGUAUCACCCAAGACAACUUUACGGAGUUGACGAUUGACGGAGCGAAGCGACGUCAAAGCGUUCAUUAAAGUCGAGUUGGCUUAGGGAUACGUUCGUUGGGUAGGGGAGCGUUCUGUAAGCCUGUGAAGGUGUGUCGUGAGGCAUGCUGGAGGUAU
rnacentral:rRNA from 1 species